UGCUCUGAGAACACAAAAACAUUAUGAUAGUGGUAGUUCUCACAAAGUCCUCUGUGUAACACAGCUCACUGCAGAGUAAGGGACACUUGUAGCUGAUAAUUAGAUAAACUUUCUAAAGCUGCAAACUGACUCAACAGAGGCUGAACUGAGAGGAGACAUGAAAGUUGUGUUUGGACUGUUGUUGCCGCUACUUGGAGUCUCUCAUGGUGGAGAAACUUACUGUGAUGGCAGACAGAGUGGAGCUCAGUGUUAUGGAGCUUUGGGAGGAACUGUGGUCACCAGACUGAUGGACAACGCCUUAGAAAUAUUUAGAUGCAAUGUGAUAAAUGGAUCAUCAGUAAUAUUAACAUGGAGAAACAAAACGAUUGUAACCAAUGUGUUAAAAGACAGAUCUGUCUUUAAUAACAGUGAUGGAACAUUUAGGAUCAAUGACCUGAGCAGGAAUGACAGUGGUCAAUAUGAUCUGAGAAGCUUUGACUCAAAUGGAUCAAAAUUACCAGAACAGACUCUACAGUUGUUUAUUGAAGCUCCGGUGUCCUCUGUCCAUCUGGUCUCUGAGUGUCUGUCCCAUGGAGACAAG